rfam:Triticum aestivum genome assembly, contig: Triticum_aestivum_CS42_TGACv1_scaffold_221281_3B
ACGGAAGUGAGGAUCCUUUCCCCAGCUGAUCGACUAUAAUUAUACUGUGAUCAAAUGUAAUCCUUUAUCAGAGGAUUCCAAGCCAAAAAAAUCGAUCCAU